AACGAUUGGAGGUUAGAUACGUGCAGCUAUUUCGCCUCCGCAGGAAGUGUUCUUCAGGAGUGUUCCAAGCUGUCCGAAGACACACAAAUCCGAUUCACCUCGUAUGCACCCAACGGAUUUCAUGCGAAGGAUAUUGAAAAGCCAUCAAAGAAGUGGGCAUGAUGCGCGGGCCUUAUGGAAACUGCGCGGUCAGAGCAACAACCGGAUGAGCAUUUCGUUUCAGGUGGAAAUUAUAUCAAGUUUGGGAAUUGAAGAGAGUUACGGCACACUGCGAACAUCGUUGUAAACAAUCGAUAGUAACAUUUAUAUAGAGCUUAUGAAUGCAUGUGUUUAUCUAAUUAUUCAUUAAUUCGUUUAUUUAUUAAUUUGAGCAUUAGUGCUCCAUCGACAUAUGUUUUUUGUUGUUCUUUUAAGUAAAUUGCUCCAACAGCUUAUCCCGGCCUUUCUCGGGUUUAGUUGAUGUUGCUUGACCGCGACGAUUGACACCAGAGUUUGUUAUG